rfam:Brassica oleracea var. oleracea cultivar TO1000 chromosome C4, whole genome shotgun sequence
GGAAUAUAAGAAACCAUCUCUUAAAUUUUAACUAAAAAAGUUAAGAACAUGCUCUUAAAUAAGAUAUUAAAGAACCGGUUCUUAGUUUUUUUAGUUAUAAAUUAAGAGAUAGUUUCUUAUAUUCC